rnacentral:rRNA from 1 species
AGUGAACGCUGGCGGUAGGCCUAACACAUGCAAGUCGAACGGCAGCACAGUAAGAGCUUGCUCUUACGGGUGGCGAGUGGCGGACGGGUGAGUAAUACAUCGGAAUCUACUUUUUCGUGGGGGAUAACGUAGGGAAACUUACGCUAAUACCGCAUACGACCUACUUGUGAAAGCAGGGGAUCUUCGGACCUUGCGCUAUUGAAUGAGCCUAUGUCGGAUUAGCUAGUUGGCGGGGUAAAGGCCCACCAAGGCGACGAUCCGUAGCUGGUCUGAGAGGAUGAUCAGACACACUGGAACUGAGACACGGUCCAGACUCCGACGGGAGGCAGCAGUGGGGAAUAUUGGACAAGGGGCGCAAGCCUGAUCCAGCCAUACCGCGUGGGUGAAGAAGGACUUCGGGUUGUAAAGCCCUUUUGUUGGGAAAGAAAAGCAGCAGGUUAAUACCCCGCUGUUAUGACGGUACCCAAAGAAUAAGCACCGGCUAACUUCGUG